rnacentral:ncRNA from 1 species
AUAGGUGUCCAUAGGACUUAAUAGGGAAUCCGGUGCAGCAUAGUCUAAGCCGGAGCGGUCCCGCCACUGUAGGGUGGAGUCUUGCACAAUCAUGUCACUGGGGUAGAUAUGCGUACCUUGGGAAGGCGUGCAAUGCGGUGCCAUCGGCGCUUCAGCGCCGCGAAUGGCACCCAUGCGAGAGCGUCCCGUGACAGCGAGCACGAAGUGCGAAGCUGGAACGGCUGACGCUUACCGCAGACGAUGAAACCGAGCCAGGAGAACUGCCUGUUCC